rnacentral:lncRNA from 1 species
GGCAGUUGGGUGUUUCUUGGAAAGAUCACUCCCCGUUGCUUUUCCCAUCUUUGCUUUUCCCAUCCUUUGCUUUUCCCAUCCUUCGCUCCUCCAUCCGCGGCCGUUACCCCAGCCCUCGAGCACCAGAAAUAGAAACUCGGAGGCUGGCGUCGAGGCUAGACAUGGACUCCGCGCCUGGCCCCUUCCAGAUCCCAGUUUUCUAAAGUGACUUCGCACCAAAGUCCGGUCUUUUAUGAACUUGAAACACAUCGGCUAGGUCUUCAUCCUCACCUGCACUGGAAUUACCUACUUAAGAAAAACAAACUAAUGAUACACAAAGAAGCACUUAUGUAUGUAUUUAAACACUUGCUGGGAUCCUUCUGAAAACUACAGUUUGAAUUUUACGUUUCCGGUUUAGUUUAAAUUGUAUUGUUUACUUGUAUGUAUUAGCUUAAAUAAAAUAAUAGUCAUUUCAAAUGUUUCUCAGAGACAACAGGGUAAGUAAAAAAUAGUUGUGUUAUGACAUCUGUGAAUAUAAAAGUUAUUUGUGGCCCAUUAUAUUUUAUUUUUCAAGUUCAAACGUAUUUCAAAUAUGAAACGCAUUAUCAUAAUCUCCAUAUUGAUUAGUUGUCCAAGUUGAAAAGUGUUUACAAUUUUAAUUUUUUCCAGAUGAUUAUUACUCUGUUUUCAGGCUAUAAAUUUCAUCUCAUGUAAUUUUCUUUGUAGAACUUUGACAUAGCAGUUAACAUCAAGUGGUUGUACUACAAUUUUUGCUUAUUUUGUUUUUCAACUGCAUUGGGUCCUGUUAUAAGUGCAUAUACAUCUGGAAUGCUUCCAUCUUUAAAUUAAAAGCACUUUAUCACAUCUGAAGGUUCUCUGCAGAGAGUCACUUUCUGACUGCUUAGGAACUUGAUAAGCCAAAUAGUAUUCCAUCACUGUAGGUAAACAGUUCUGGGAAAGAAAAAUCUACAGUCUUUGACAAUUCUUCCUGUCAAUUGUUUGUACCUCAUUCUAGAAAUUACAUAUCUUCAUGCCGGAAACACUAUUUGGAUGCGUGUGGAUGAUUCUGAAAAUUGAUAUAGUCUGAAGGAUGUAUAUGUACAUUUAUAUAUAGA